CACCCCCUCUCCUCCUCCUCCUCCUCCUCCUCCUCCUCCUCCUCCUCCUCCUCCUCCUCCUCCUCCUCGCCCCCCUCCCGCCACACUCCCCAAAGCAGAAGCCAACCGUGGCGACCUCGCGAUCGCCAAGGCCCCCGGCGACACGAAACGGUACAGGUAUAUCAAACUGCAAAAUGGUUUGCAUGCAUUACUUAUUUCCAAUGUCAGCAAUGUGGAGGAAGAAUUCUCAGAAGAGAGUGGUGUAGAGUCUGAGACUGGAACUGAUGAUGACAAUGAUUCAGGAAAAGACAGCGAAGAUGAUGAAGAAAAUUCUGAUAACAAAGGAUGAUGAGAAAGUUAAACAUGAGGAGAGUCCCAGUGACUCAGAUAUGGAAAUAGAAGGGUUAGCAGUAGAAGAAGCAUGGGCAGAACCAACAGGAAAGAAAGAGGAGGAUGAAAGUACGGAGAAAAUGUCUGCUGCUGCCCUUUGUGUUACUGUUGGCAGUAUUUUUGACCCUGAAGAUUUGCCUGGGCUAGCACACUUUCUUGAACACAGUAUGUAUCAUUUUUCAUGCUAGGCUUUCUUUUCAGUUUUGAGCUUUCACACUGAUUUUGACUUUUGUAUCAGUUUUGAUGUAAUCUUAAUAUUUUUUACAAAUCAAGCUGUUUGUGUAUUUUUUUAUUGAACUCCAAUUUUAAUUCUGGUGUGGCUUGAUGUGUUUAAAAAAAAGUGGCCUGAUGUGAAUAACAAAGUGAUUAUAUAGUCAAAUAAAUUUUAAUUUUCUAAUGUAUGAAAAUAAAAAGAAUAUGAGCAUGUGUGUAAGAUACAACUGCUGAAAUGUGUACAUUUCUGUAUUUGUGAUGAGUAAUGAUACUUAAAUAUCAUGUGAAGGUUUUGUGUACUCUAAAUAGUUUUGUUAAAAUUAGUCCUGUUCAUUCACAGGUUUUGUGUAUGUGUUUUUUAUCCCUUUAAAUCAAAUGCAUAUUAAGGCUACAGUAAUUACUCUGUCAAGUCCUUCUGAAACAUUUCUUUCUUGCUAGUAUCUCUAACAGUUUCCUUCUA